rnacentral:lncRNA from 1 species
GCGGCCGCGUCGCACUUGGGGCCCCGAGACCCCGCGCCGUGCGGUGCGCGUGCGCCUUGCCGGUCCUCAGCGUCCUGCUCGGCCGACCCUGGGGCCUGUCGCCCCGCAGCGGUAAGGGCUAUGAGCCGGAGCCGCCGCCGCCGGUGCCGAGAGGCCCAGACCCAGCGCAGCGGGACCACGGGGAUGGGGGUGGGGGACAGGGAUGAGGGCUUUGGGGUACUCCAGACUCCGGUGCCCUCGGAAGUUAGUGACUUCUGAACCCAAGUUUCUACCUGUGGGAAUGGGAGUCCUCCUUAGUCACCGCUUGACCACAAAGGCAACUGCCCAAGCGAACGCGAGUGGGUACCUAAAGAGCUGCCCGGGAAAUGAUAGUGUUCCCCGCUCCGUCUUAAAAACAACAACAACAACAAACAAAACAAAACGUCCAGUUUUAGUUCCUUGUCAUUCUGUCGUGGAAGCUCGAUGGCCACUAACCUUGCUCGCACUGUGCAGGAAUGUACUUUCCUCCUGGCUUCAGGACGAGACCGUAGAAUAGAGUUGAAAUGGUCUAUGUGCGUGGGCAUCCUGAGUUCGACGUAGUGCUUGGACUCUUAAUGUCCUCAGACACAUCUCACCUGAUUCCUGGAGAUUUUUCUGUUUUGUUUUGUUGUUAUUAAUGAUGCUAUCGUGGUUUUAAAGGUUAUAGGCUUGCUUACAGACAUUAUUAC